UACGUAGGGACCAAGCGUUGUUCGGAUUUAUUGGGCGUAAAGCGCGCGUAGGCGGCGUGUCAAGUCAAUUGUGAAAUCUCCGGGCUUAACUCGGAACGGUCAAUUGAUACUGAUGUGCUAGAGUGCAGAAGGGGCAAUCGGAAUUCUUGGUGUAGCGGUGAAAUGCGUAGAUAUCAGGAGGAACACCGGUGGCGAAGGCAGGUCUCUGGGCCGAGACUGACGCUGAGGAGCGAAAGCGUGGGGAGCGAACAGG
rnacentral:rRNA from 1 species